UACGAAGGGGGCUAGCGUUGCUCGGAAUCACUGGGCGUAAAGGGUGCGUAGGCGGGUCUUUAAGUCAGGGGUGAAAUCCUGGAGCUCAACUCCAGAACUGCCUUUGAUACUGAGGAUCUUGAGUUCGGGAGAGGUGAGUGGAACUGCGAGUGUAGAGGUGAAAUUCGUAGAUAUUCGCAAGAACACCGGUGGCGAAGGCGGCCAUCUGGACGGAUACUGACGCUGAGACGCGAAAGCGUGGGUAGCAAACAGG
rnacentral:rRNA from 1 species